UCACAUUGCAUGACAUACAAUGUUAGUGUUUUCUUUUUUCACAUAUUUGCACUUUGCCAAUUACACUUCUCUGUUAAUAAAAAUCAGCCUGGUCUCAUAGACUAGACGUAACAUAGCAAACGUAAAUCUGGGACACACACAUUUGGUAUGGUUACAUAACUUAACCUUUUCACAUGCGAGUUCCAAAUAUCUCUAAUGGUUGACCCAGUGUGAGUUUUUUUUAUGCACGUCAUGCACGUCAGAAUGCACUCAGAAUGCACUCAGAAUGCACUCACUGCUCCAAAAUGUGAUUGUUACGCAACAGGACUGUGAAUCCGCGCUGCCCUCAAACUAAGGCACGCUGCCUGCUUUUAUCUAUAGGCUGUUUCAACUUGUCAAUUUCAAACAAGUUUUAUUUUCAAACAACAGUUUGAAUUUAGGUGUGUUCCGCCUCCUCAUUAAUUCACACAAAAGUAGGCCAUUUUACUUUUGCAGACAAUUUAUGUUCUGGGCUUUACUGAGCCCGACAAACUUCCCCAAGCACUUCCCAAUUGUUUCCCGCAGAUCAAGAAUGCAGACAUUUGCGCACUUCCAGGCAGAACAGGACCUGCACAAACUUUUCACAUUUUCACAUUUUCAGGCUGGUGCUUGCUUCGCCUUCAUUGUUGUUUUCAUUACUUCAUUACAUGUGUUUGUUUCUAUUAAAGUAAGUGCCUUGUUACAUUAUAAUAGUUUCUGUAUGUCCUGUUAUGUCAUUUCUACUGUAGCUCACUGUAUGUAUGGAGCAUAAUAUAUUUGUAACCGCAGACACGCAAGGUAACGUGACUAAUUGCACAACCUUUAUGGUGUUAUACUCAAUCAUGCUCAUGUAGCUAGCUACAUUCUUCUAUUAGCUCUGUAAAACAAUGCUAAUUGCGUUUGAGAAGUAUUAGCUUGUGUUGUCUUUUGAAGCUACCCUGGCCUUAUGACCAUGGUUUGUUUUCGUUUGGCCUGUUUAGCAUAGCUCUGUUCUGCCCUGCCACCUUGUGGACAUCAACAGGUAUUGUUUCUUACUGUUUUUAUUGCAGUGUUGUUAUGUUACUUCUUUGUAAAAUAGUUUUAUUGCUAUAUCCUGAUAUUGCAUUCUAAUGACUAAUAAUUCCUCUUUAUUCUGUACUUUCAGAAACCACACACACAUCAUUGAACAUUAUUUGCCAAUAUCAUAACUGGAGCUGAAAACUGAGGCCAGCUUUUGUAUGCUAGUGUACACUCCUUAACAGUUGUACUGGAUGAAAACACAGCAAGAAAACAAAGAGGCCUAUAUGUAGUAGUCGUCUAUUUUAUUGAAGUAUUGGUGGUGGUCGAACAACAAUAACAAAAACAACAUCAACCCCCCCCCCCCUCUCCCCCACAUAGUAUCAUGGCAGAUUACCAGUCAAGUCACCAGUCAAGUCAGUCAGUCAGUAAUUGCUGCAGAUGUGCUCAAUAGUGCUUGAGCAUAUUUGUACUCCCAAAAGCAUGGUGAAACACAUAGAGGUGUGUCACAAGCUGAACACAUGUACUUUGUCAACCUCGUAUGCUUCCUUUUCCUGGUGCCAGACAGGCAGACUUUGCCGUGCCUCCGUGUGCGACUACCUGACGGCAACAGUUUGACGGACUUUGCAGGGAAAAUGCCGUGCAGUGAGGUGUAGGGGAUUGUCUGCAGCAGGACGGCCCCCAGUGGAUCGGCGCUGAGGGGUGUGGUGCUCCUCCAGCAGCUCUCUCAUGAGGUUUUCUCUGUACAUUUGGUGGUCCACCUUCCCUGUGGCCGACAUGGUUGCUGUCUGGACAGUGGAGAGGACAUGCCACUUUUACUGCCAGUUGUUGACUGUUCUCCUUGAACUCCAACUCCCCUCUCUGCAUCUUCCUCCAUCCGAAUGCUGGCAUCCCCUUCCUGUUAGACCUGACUGUGCCACAGGCUCCUGUGCUGUUGGAAGAGCAGAAGCUGGAAGAGUGUGGGACUGCUGUACCAACUGUCCCCAUACAAAGUGUGUCCCUUGCUGAGAUGAGGAGCCAGCAUGGUCAUCACCGUGGACCUGGACACCACAAGACCCUCAUAAUGUUGGACGUUACCGUGCUUCUACACCUGCAUUGCUUGCUGUUUGGGGUUUUAGGCUGGGUUUCUGUACAGCACUUUGAGAUAUCAGCUGAUGUACGAAGGGCUAUAUAAAUACAUUUUAUUUUAUUUUAUUUUGAUUUGACGUCAGUAGUGGACCCUGGGUAAACUAUAAUGUCCUGGACAAAUCCUGUCUUCACGUCGCACAUGACAAAUAACUUGACCCCAAACCUGUGCCUUUUGGAGGCAAUAUAUUGACGGAACGCCAGCCUACCCUUCCAUAACAUCAGGGACUCAUCAAUGAAUAGGUCCUUGUAUGGCACAAAGAACUGACCAAAUGUUGACGUCAGGCUGUAUUCUCUUAGGGAAUUCUUCUUUACUAUCCCCAUGAGAAGGACUGUCACCAGGAAGCUCCAAGGCAUAGCGAUUGGUCUCCUCUACUAUGUCUCCCACCAGCUCCUCUGUCAGAAACAGCUUGAAGCACUCUGCCACAGAGGGAAAUGGCAAGGGGCUUUUGCACUCCAGACUGGAACUCGUCAAAGCAAACAGCAGGGUCAGGAGGACUGAAAUGGCUGGCGGCCUUCCAGCUACCACAGACUUCCUGUACUUCAUCCACUGCCGGUCUGCCUCCAUCACCAUCAGCAUCUUCAAAGUGACCUGGGACUUCAUCAGUGGACAAGGGGUCUUCAGAUUCAGGGUUCUCAAUGGCUACAAGGUUUGGGGGCAACUCCUCACUUUCACUAUCACUGUCAGAAUCUUAUUACUGACUUUCAUACUCUGACUCAUUGUCAGAAUUUAUAAAAAAUCUCCAGAAUUUCCGCAUUUGUGAGUCUCCUUUUAAAAGACAUUGCGAAAGCUACAGCUUAGCUCACUAGCUACACACAUAAAUAACAACACUGAAUGGCUCAGAGUGGGAGUGAGAGGUUACGUGAUUGACUGCAUGCACGCGCCACUUGUAUCAAUAAAUCACUGUCAGAAAAUGUUUUGUGUGGUAAUUAUUUAUUUAUUUAUUUACUGUUUUAUUCACGUUUUCAAGUACUGGUGACAAAUCAUGCAUUCCGAUUCUUUCAUAGAUUACAAUGGACACAUAUUAUGUGUGUAAAAUACUUUUUUUUAAUGAUUGUACUGAUUAUGAUGAGUUAAGCUAAUUCUAGCUAUGUGUGGAGCCAUGUUUGUUGACAUACAAUGCAUUCUGGGUUUCACGUCUGUCGGACCGAAGAUUUUUCAAGUAAACUUCCAGAAGUGAAUGAUGGGAUGUGAACGAUGGUAGACAACACACUCCCUUUAACAUGCAUACUAUAAAUAGACCAAACUCAUCUAGUCUCCUCCUAUAAUCUUUGGUUGAUGCAAAAAAUAAACAUGGUGGCACGCACAAACUACCCAUCGUCGGAUAACUUUCGAUUUCUAGAAACUGUUUUACUCAAUUAUUUUGAUCAAUGGUGAGCUCACCCAUGAUGUGACUAAUUAUGCUGUAGCUACUUCUGUGAUUGUCUGAACAUUGCAUCCAAAAAAUAAACUUGUCACAUUC